rnacentral:lncRNA from 1 species
GUGUCUGUGGAUGCUUUGCGGAGGCACAGGGCCGAAGGCUGCCUGACUGACUUGGAUUCUGCUGGAAUAUCUAUCUGUGCAUGGGAAGAGAAGGCCAUGGCUGUACAGCUUGUUCCCGAUUCUGCUCUCAGCCUGCUCAUGGUAAGUGCUCCCUGCGAGCUGCUGGGGGGCCUACCCGGAGCCCAGGCUCCUGCUCUUCCCACGGCCGGCCGUGUGGGUGGCUGCUGGGGCAGAGAUGCUCAAGGGGCUCCCAUUGCCUGUCGUCCUCAUUCACAAAUGAUGCUUUAAAGGAGAGGAUUGGCCUUGACAAAGCUUGGGCAAGGUUCUGAAUAAUGAAUGUGUUCCAUUUUAGGAGCUCGUGCCUUAAUGAAUAGUGUUUGGAGAAGGGAGUUGAUAAACAGGUGUUUAUGCCUGAAUUAGAGAGCCCAGCACUAUUUCUUCUUUUUUGGGGGGGGGGUCCUGGGGGGCCGGGGUCUGACAGGAGACCUAUAUGGAUUUGCCCUCUAUUUUUCUCUUGGCGAUUGUUGUGGAUUGUUUACACUGGCACUGAGUGGUUAAAUUUCUAGAGGCAUUCACACAUUCAGAUAAACAGAUAGAGAUAAACAUAUACAUAUAUUAAUAUAUGCCAGUUUAUCACGUUCCCAAAUAGAGGUUCCGGAGGUGGUUCCCUUGUGGUCCUUUGGAAACAUAGCUUUCUGAGCAGUGGGCAGCUAGAAGGAGAAAUUGUCAGGGUUUGUUUGGGCAUUUAUCAUGAUUGUGAGCUUUUGUGACUGUCAUUCUAAAGUUGCCUGUAUUUCUAGUCAUUUAAGAAGGCUACUGUGCUUGCUUUAGGUAUUAAAAUGAGCAAGGAAAAUGGUAUCCUCUUGUUCUGACUCCUAACUUCUAGUUUUCAUGUGGGAGUGUCCCUCUCAACUCUCACAUCUCCUCCUCAUCUUUGGUCUGUCUCUGUCUCUUUUCUCUCUGUUUCUGUGGCUGUCUCCUCUCUGAGUCUCUGUGGCUCUCUCUAUCUCUCUGUCUCUUCUCUCUCUUUGGGUCUCUGUGGCUCUCUCUGUCUCUGUCUCUUUUCUCUCUGUCUCUUCUCUCUCUUUGGGUCUCUGUGGCUCUCUCUGUCUCUCUCUCUUUUCUCUCUGUCUCUUCUCUCUCUUUGAAUCUCUAUGGCUCUCUCUGUCUCUGUCUCUUUUCUCUCUGUCUCUUUUCUCUCUUUGAGUCUAUGGCUCUCUCUGUCUCUGUCUCUUUUCUCUCUGUCUCUUCUCUCUCUUUGGGUCUCUGUGGCUCUCUCUGUCUCUGUCUCUUUUCUCUCUGUCUCUGUGGCUGUCUCCAUCUGUCCCUGUCUCUUUUUUCUCUUUGGGUUUUUCUGUGUCUCUCUGCUCUCCCCAUCUGCCUCCUUCUACCUAGCAGCCUGCAGGAUGUUCAAACCUGGGGGAAAUUUUGGAGUAUGAAUGUCUCUAACAUUUACACGGGAGAUUUUACAAACAAAGAACAAGGGUUUCUACUGUGUAUAUUGAUCCAUACCUUCUGAAGGCAAUGGGGAAAGCUGAUUUUCUAGGCCUGAUGAGUUUAUUAAAAGCAACAUGGGAAGGUAAUUGGUAGAGAGCCUUGCCCUCGGUGGAUGGUACUAAGAAAAGUAAAUACUUUGAUUUCUAGUUAUCCAAAAAUACUCAGUAUGUCAUUUGGUAUACAUUUCCUUAAAAUGUCUGAAUUCCCUUGCAUCUAUGACUAUUGCUGACUUCAGUGACAAGAAAGGGAGAGAGACAGAGCUGAGACUAGAGGUAGUGUCACAAGCAUUACAGGGGGAAGUGGUUUAGGGUUCAAUUAAGCUUUCCCUUGGAGCCAGUACUUCCUGGCAUCUUUUGCUUUUGGUUCUGCAGUGGCCUGAAUCUUCCCUAGACAGAUAUCACUUUGAGAAAUGCCAGAAGUAUUUAAUGGGGCCUAGCAAUUUCAUGGACAUUUGGAAGUGCUUAUCACAAACAGGAAAAUCUAUCCUAAAAAGAGUCCAUUAAGAUGGAAAGAAACAUCUUAAAACAAUAAAUAACUGGGAAGAUUUAUUGACA